GAAAAAAUGGAUUAAAAAGUUAAAAGUGGUGAUUUGAUCUUUUCUAACAACUUCGAGCGUUAAAUUGAACCUUAUUCCUGGAUAUAUAAAAUGGCUAUUUGAAUUGGGUCUCUCUGGAUCUUUUAAUCUGCCGCGAAGAAAUCAAUCUCCGUUUUGUGCACAAAAAUCAAUCCGUGGGAAUUUUUUAAAGGGAAAGAAAGGGCUUCUGUGUUUAUAUUACAUUACUUUGUGCGAGUGUUAAGGGUUUUGUCUUGUGCUUUAGGGGUUCGAAGAAUUUUUAGUCCUCAAUGAGUCUGUCUCCGUUCAAGCAGGACAUCGAUGAGCUUAUAGAUGAGUUUGUUCAGGGUGAGUCUCCAACUUUUGCUGAAAUGAAGAAAGUUUGGCUUUCUAGAAAGUUCAGUUACAUCUUUGAGGCUAUGCCUUGUAACAAAUUGGCCUUGUUUAUGCAAUCAGUUUAUUCUCAUUCUAUUGGUUACAUGAUCAAUAGCAGUGCUUCUUUGUCUCAAAGACUGGGUGGAUUGUAUUGUCUUUACUGCCUCUAUGAGACUCAACCCUUCAAGCCUCCUUUCAAAAUUUAUCUCUCUCUUGGAGAGCUAAAGAAACUUAAGAACCUUGUGGUUGAUGCAAAAGAGCAGGGUGUGCAAGUUGUACCCGUUAUAGUCUCUAGAAUGUUGGAAAAGGACAUGUUUCUCUUUGGCUCUGUAGACUUAAAUGAGGGCUCUACUACUGAGUUAGUGGACCAACUCACACAGUUGCAGAAUGAUCGUGUUCAACAUGCAUAUAAGAAGUUAUUUCCCGAUACUCGCCUUAAACAGUUCCUCCACAUGGACUUGGAUAGCGAAUUUGAUUUUAAUGCAGUGACGAAAAUGUCAACAGAGUAUGCGGAGGCUAAGAAGCAAGCCAUUCAAGAGGCCAGCAAGGUGGUGGAUAUUGAGGACAUACAGCACAUAUCAGAUGAUAAGGUAUUAUUUGGAGAUGUAGUGAAGAACAUCAAAGGGAACUGGAAUGUCCAAAGAGAGGUGUUUUAUCAACAAACAGGGUUGAACCAGCAUCCUGCUCAAGAACAAGAGCAGCAACAUCAAGGGUAUGAAGAGAAAAAUGAGGAUGUUAAUGAUAAUGAUGACAAUUUUAGUCGUGAACUAGAAAUGCAACUAUACGAAGAAGAGCCACACGAAUAGAAGCAAGAGGAUGAGGAAUUUAUUGAUGAACUCAAAUUGCAAUUUGUUGUGAACCAGCAACAAAACCAUUAUUGAGGACUUGAUGAUGAGGAAUUUAGCCAUGAAAACAAAGAAGAUAGAAAAGUUAUUCUUUAGGCUGCAUAACCAUAUAUGGACUUGCGAUCAUCAUCAAUGAAGAUUUUUGCUUGUUUUGCUAGAGUUCGUUAAGCAAGACUUCACAUAGGUACUGCACGCGUUCAAUUUAUGGAAGAAAGCUAACACCUAAUUGGAUAGGAUUUUUGGUGGCAUUUGAUGUUUCCCUGCACUUCAGUGCUGCAGCUGUGGCUGCUUAGGAGACUGGUAUAGUGGAACCGCAAGGUCUUAAACAAACAGUAAUGGCGCGACGACUGAAGAUGAAGAUGGGUUCCUGGCUUCACAAGCUUAAAGAAGUUAGAGAAAAGGUUUAUAAAAGAAGUUUACUGUACUAAGAAAAGGAAUGAUUCUAGAAGUGUGCAAGAAUCUCCUUCCUCCCGGUCACCCCCCGAGGGAACAUCAAUCAAGUUUAACGUUGAUGCAUCUUUCUCAGAGGCAAAUAGGAAGUCAUGGCAGUGUGAUUGCUGGCAGAUUAAGCAGAGAUAAAUGCUAUCUCUCCUAGCAGGUGAAGCUUUAGCGUUGAAGGAAGGUUUAACUCUUGCCAAGACAUGGGCUGUGCAGAAGCCAUUUUUGAGUCUGAUUGCUCGUUGCUUGUUACUACUGUUAAUAUGACGAAUAGGGUGUUUUCCGUGGAAAAUUGAGGUUUUUAUUUACGACAUCUCUCUUGUCUGAGAAUGUUAAUUAUUUUGUCAAGCACAUUAGUAGAUCUGCGAACUCUGUAGCAGACUUUUUAGCCAGGAGAGCUUUAAUUGAUUCUUGCUGUUUAGAGUGAUUGUUUUAA